rnacentral:rRNA from 1 species
UGGGGAAUAUUGGUCAAUGGGGGCAACCCUGAACCAGCAACGCCGCGUGAAGGAAGAAGGUCUUCGGAUUGUAAACUUUUGUCGUAUAGGACGAAGGAAGUGACGGUACUAUACAAGAAAGCCACGGCUAACUACGUGCCAGCAGCCGCGGUAAUACGUAGGUGGCGAGCGUUGUCCGGAUUUACUGGGUGUAAAGGGCGUGUAGGCGGAUCUGCAAGUCAGAUGUGAAAUACCGAUGCUUAACAUCGGGGCUGCAUUUGAAACUGUAGACCUUGAGUGCAGGAGAGGAAAGCGGAAUUCCUAGUGUAGCGGUGAAAUGCGUAGAUAUUAGGAGGAACACCAGUGGCGAAGGCGGCUUUCUGGACUGUAACUGACGCUGAGGCGCGAAAGCGUGGGUAGCAAACAGG